UUUUAGCCCCGAUAGAAGUGGAAAUCCUUUUACUUUUUUCUUUAAAAAGUAAAAGAUUGAAACGGAGAGCUGGAUUAGCU
rnacentral:sRNA from 2 species